UACGAAGGGGGCUAGCGUUGCUCGGAAUUACUGGGCGUAAAGCGCACGUAGGCGGCUUUCUAAGUCGGAGGUGAAAUCCUGGAGCUCAACUCCAGAACUGCCUUCGAUACUGGAGAGCUCGAGUCCGGGAGAGGUGAGUGGAACUGCGAGUGUAGAGGUGAAAUUCGUAGAUAUUCGCAAGAACACCAGUGGCGAAGGCGGCUCACUGGCCCGGUACUGACGCUGAGGCGCGAAAGCGUGGGGAGCAAACAGG
rnacentral:rRNA from 1 species